CCUACGGGAGGCAGCAGUGGGGAAUAUUGGGCAAUGGGCGCAAGCCUGACCCAGCAACGCCGCGUGAAGGAAGAAGGCUUUCGGGUUGUAAACUUCUUUUCUCAGGGACGAAGCAAGUGACGGUACCUGAGGAAUAAGCCACGGCUAACUACGUGCCAGCAGCCGCGGUAAUACGUAGGUGGCAAGCGUUAUCCGGAUUUACUGGGUGUAAAGGGCGUGUAGGCGGGACUGCAAGUCAGAUGUGAAAUCCCGCGGCUAAACCGCUGAACUGCAUUUGAAACUGUUUUUCUUGAGUACCGGAGAGGUCAUCGGAAUUCCUUGUGUAGCGGUGAAAUGCGUAGAGAUAAGGAAGAACACCAGUGGCGAAGGCGGAUGACUGGACGGCAACUGACGGUGAGGCGCGAAAGCGUGGGGAGCAAACAGGAUUAGAUACCCCGGUAGUC
rnacentral:rRNA from 1 species